rnacentral:rRNA from 1 species
CCUACGGGUGGCAGCAGUGGGGAAUAUUGCACAAUGGGGGAAACCCUGAUGCAGCAACGCCGCGUGAAGGAAGACGGAUUUCGGUAUGUAAAGCUCUGUCCUCAGGGAAGAAUAAAGACGGUAGCUAAGUAGGAAGCCACGGCUAACUACGUGCCAGCAGCCGCGGUAAUACGUAGGGGGCAAGCGUUGUCCGGAAUUACUGGGUGGAAAGGGAGCGUAGGCGGGUAGGCAAGUCUGCAGUGAAAACCACGGGCUUAACUUGUAGACUGCAGUUGAAACUGGUGUUCUUGAGUGAAGUAGAGGUUGGUGGAAUUCCUAGUGUAGCGGUGAAAUGCGUAGAUAUUCGGAGGAACACCAGUGGCGAAGGCGGCCAACUGGACUGUAACUGACGCUGAGGCUCGAAAGUGUGGGGAGCAAACAGGAUUAGAUACCCUAGUAGUC